GCCACUUUUGGCUCAGUUGGUAGAGCAUGGUGUUUGCAACGCCAGGGUUGUGAGUUCGUUUCCCACGGGUGACC
rfam:Salmo salar isolate Sally breed double haploid chromosome ssa02, whole genome shotgun sequence.